rnacentral:rRNA from 1 species
UAGGGAAUCUUCCACAAUGGGCGCAAGCCUGAUGGAGCAACGCCGCGUGAGUGAUGAAGGCCUUCGGGUUGUAAAACUCUGUCUUCUGUGACGAACAAGCCUGUGAGUGGAAAGCUCAGGCCCUGACGGUAACAGAGGAGGAAGCCACGGCUAACUACGUGCCAGCAGCCGCGGUAAUACGUAGGUGGCAAGCGUUGUCCGGAAUCACUGGGCGUAAAGCGCGCGCAGGCGGCGAUCUACGUCUGGGGUGAAUGCCCGGAGCUCAACUCCGGGACUGCCUUGGAUACGGGAUCGCUUGAGGAUUGGAGAGGCAAGGGGAAUUCCACGUGUAGCGGUGAAAUGCGUAGAUAUGUGGAGGAACACCUGUGGCGAAGGCGCCUUGCUGGCCAAUUUCUGACGCUGAGGCGCGAAAGCGUGGGGAGCAAACAGGAUUAGAUACCCUGGUAGUCCACGCCGUAAACGAUGAGUGCUAGG